rnacentral:rRNA from 1 species
UACGAAGGGGGCUAGCGUUGUUCGGAAUUACUGGGCGUAAAGCGUAUGCAGGCGGAUCGUUAAGUCAGGGGUGAAAUCCUGGAGCUUAACUCCAGAACUGCCUUUGAUACUGAUGAGCUUGAGUCCGGGAGAGGUGAGUGGAACUGCGAGUGUAGAGGUGAAAUUCGUAGAUAUUCGCAAGAACACCAGUGGCGAAGGCGGCUCACUGGCCCGGUACUGACGCUGAGGUGCGAAAGCGUGGGGAGCAACAGGG